UACGUAGGGUGCAAGCGUUGUCCGGAAUUAUUGGGCGUAAAGAGCUCGUAGGCGGUCUGUCGCGUCGGCUGUGAAAACUCGGGGCUCAACCCCGAGCCUGCAGCCGAUACGGGCAGACUAGAAUUCGGUAGGGGAGACUGGAAUUCCUGGUGUAGCGGUGAAAUGCGCAGAUAUCAGGAGGAACACCGGUGGCGAAGGCGGGUCUCUGGGCCGAUAUUGACGCUGAGGAGCGAAAGCGUGGGGAGCGAACAGG
rnacentral:rRNA from 1 species